AGAGUGCGUAAUAGCUCACUAGUCGAGAGGUCCUGCGCCGAAAAUGUCCGGGGCUAAAACACAACACCGAAGCUUAGGAAUGUAAUUAUACAUUGGUAGAGGAGCAUUCUUAAAGAGACGAAGCAGUACCGAUAAGGAGCUGUGGAUUUUUAAGAAGAGAGAAUGCCGGAAUGAGUAGCGAGAUGGAGGUGGGAAUCCUCCAGGCCGAAUAUCUAAGGUUUCCAGAGUAAAGCUGAUCUGCUCUGGGUAAGUCGGGGCCUAAGGCGAGGUCGAAAGACGUAGUCGAUGGAUAACAGGUUGAAAUUCCUGUACUGCAUAUCAUCAGAACUGUGGGGACACAGAGAGAUACCGGAACCUGGGAAUGAAGAUACCAGGGCAAGCGAGGUAGGUGCUAAGCUGGCAAAACCGCUUAGUAAGCCGAAGACGUGAUGCGGAGCGAAUUAAAGUAGCGAAGUCCGGGAUUCGAGCUGUCGAGAAAAGCCGCUAUUGUGUGAUAUGUACCCGUACCGUAAACCGACACAGGUGGAUGAGGAGAGAAUCCUAAGGCCGGCGGGAGAAGCAUUGUUAAGGAACUCGGCAAAAUGACCCCGUAACUUCGGGAGAAGGGGUGCCACAGAGAUGUGGCCGCAGAGAAUAGGCUCAAGCAACUGUUUAGCAAAAACACAGGUCUAUGCGAAACCGAAAGGUGAGGUAUAUGGGCUGACGCCUGCCCGGUGCUGGAAGGUUAAGAGGAGAGGUUAGCGCAAGCGAAGCUUUGAAUUUAAGCCCCAGUAAACGGCGGCCGUAACUAUAACGGUCCUAAGGUAGCGAAAUUCCUUGUCGGGUAAGUUCCGACCCGCACGAAAGGCGUAAUGAUUUGAGCACUGUCUCGACAAUGCAUCCGGUGAAAUUGAAGUACCAGUGAAGAUGCUGGUUACCUGCGCCAGGACGGAAAGACCCCAUGGAGCUUUACUCUAGCUUGAUACUGGGAUUCGGUACUGCAUGUACAGGAUAGGUGGGAGACUUUGAUGACAGGACGCCAGUCUUGUCGGAGUCGCUGUUGGGAUACCACCCUUGUGGUACUGGAUUUCUAACCAACCUCCGUGACCCGGAGGUGGGACAAUGUCAGGUGGGGAGUUUGACUGGGGCGGUCGCCUCCGAAAGGGUAUCG
rnacentral:rRNA from 1 species